rnacentral:lncRNA from 1 species
GAAUCUAUCUUCAUUGGUAGAUAGGGGUGUUAGUUCUAUGUGAUUUAUGAGACCGAGUUUAGAAGACCUUGGCGAGGGCAGAAUAAAUAGCGGAAAAGCGUUUCCGAUAUUAGAAACUCGAGUCGAAUAAAUUUGACAUAUGACAGACGAUAGGAUUUGACGAGUUAUUCCAUAACCUCCGUCUAGUCGGGACUCAUGAUAGAAUGAUUGUAUCACAUGGUAACUGCACCAAGCGGUUCAAUAUUCCAUUCUACUGGAAUGCCACUACAUGCUGCUAAGCGUCACUGGUGGAUUGUGAGACUCAUGAGGAUUAUCUAGAUGAUCGAUAAUUCUUAUUGGGCUGAGUUGGAAUUAUUCUGAUCCACUGAAAAGAGUUUCAGUGAUAUUGUUGAUAGUGAUCAAAAUAUAUCUCACUAUCAGAUAAAAUAGAA